rnacentral:rRNA from 1 species
CACGUAGGGGGCGAGCGUUGUCCGGAUUUAUUGGGCGUAAAGAGCUCGUAGGCGGCUCGGUAAGUCAGGUGUGAAAACUCUAGGCUCAACCUAGAGACGCCACCUGAUACUGCUGUGGCUAGAGUCCGGUAGGGGAGCAUGGAAUUCCUGGUGUAGCGGUGAAAUGCGCAGAUAUCAGGAGGAACACCAGUGGCGAAGGCAGAUCUCUGGGCCGUAACUGACGCUGAGGAGCGAAAGCAUGGGGAGCGAACAGG